UACAGAGGUCUCAAGCGUUGUUCGGAUUCAUUGGGCGUAAAGGGUGCGUAGGCGGCGCGGUAAGUCGGGUGUGAAAUCUCGGGGCUUAACUCCGAAACUGCAUUCGAUACUGUCGGGCUCGAGUCCGGAAGAGGAGUGUGGAAUUCCUGGUGUAGCGGUGAAAUGCGCAGAUAUCAGGAGGAACACCAAUGGCGAAGGCAGCACUCUGGGACGUGACUGACGCUGAGACGCGAAAGCGUGGGGAGCAAACAGG
rnacentral:rRNA from 1 species